rnacentral:rRNA from 1 species
CACGUAGUUGGCCGGUGCUUCUUCUAUGCCUACCGUCACUCUCGCUUCGUCGGCACUGAAAGGGGUUUACAACCCGAAGGCCGUCAUCCCCCACGCGGCGUCGCUGCAUCAGGCUUCCGCCCAUUGUGCAAUAUUCCCCACUGCUGCCUCCCGCAGGAGUCUGGGCCGUGUCUCAGUCCCAGUGUGGCCGGUCGCCCUCUCAGGCCGGCUACCCGUCGUCGCCUUGGUAGGCCAUUACCCCACCAACAAGCUGAUAGGCCGCGGGCUCAUCCCCUACCGAAAAACUUUCCACCCCAAACCAUGCAGUAAGAGGUCAUAUCCGGUAUUAGACCCAGUUUCCCAGGCUUAUCCCAGAGUAGGGGCAGAUCACCCACGUGUUACUCACCCGUUCGCCACUCGUGUACCCCGAAAGGCCUUACUGUUCGACUUGCUAUGUGUUAAGCACGCCGCCAGCGUUCGUCCUGACGCCAGGACUCAAACUCU